rnacentral:rRNA from 1 species
UCCUGGCUCAGGACGAACGCUGGCGGCGUGCUUAACACAUGCAAGUCGAACGAUGAAGCCCUUCGGGGUGGAUUAGUGGCGAACGGGUGAGUAACACGUGGGCAAUCUGCCCUUCACUCUGGGACAAGCCCUGGAAACGGGGUCUAAUACCGGAUAACACCGGCCUCUGCAUGGAGGCUGGUUGAAAGCUCCGGCGGUGAAGGAUGAGCCCGCGGCCUAUCAGCUUGUUGGUGGGGUAAUGGCCUACCAAGGCGACGACGGGUAGCCGGCCUGAGAGGGCGACCGGCCACACUGGGACUGAGACACGGCCCAGACUCCUACGGGAGGCAGCAGUGGGGAAUAUUGCACAAUGGGCGAAAGCCUGAUGCAGCGACGCCGCGUGAGGGAUGACGGCCUUCGGGUUGUAAACCUCUUUCAGCAGGGAAGAAGCGAAAGUGACGGUACCUGCAGAAGAAGCGCCGGCUAACUACGUGCCAGCAGCCGCGGUAAUACGUAGGGCGCAAGCGUUGUCCGGAAUUAUUGGGCGUAAAGAGCUCGUAGGCGGCUUGUCACGUCGGGUGUGAAAGCCCGGGGCUUAACCCCGGGUCUGCAUCCGAUACGGGCAGGCUAGAGUGUGGUAGGGGAGAUCGGAAUUCCUGGUGUAGCGGUGAAAUGCGCAGAUAUCAGGAGGAACACCGGUG